CAUAAGAAUGAUCGAUUCGCCUCAGAUCAAAACCACUAAACCCACGACCUCCAUUACUCUCCCUUUCUAAAAAAAAUAAAAAAAUCCAAAUGAAGAACAACCUCCAUUACUCUCGAGCGUUUAACAACCUCCAUUUCUCUCCACUUUUCUCCACAUCUCCAGUCAUAGAACACCAAAAAUCUAUGCAAGAUAACUCAAUCAGAAAACAUAAAUCAGAUAAACCAACCAAAAUAUAAUACCCACCAUAGUUGCCGCCUAACAAGCUGUUGCUUUCACAUCAAUCGGUUCUUCACUCAAAAAUUCAUUACAAUUGAAAGAUAAAGAAGAGUGCUCCUGCUAUCCUUGAAGUUGGUAUAAAAGAUUGAAGUUUUAGCAGAAGUUCUUGUUCCUGGGAAAGUGAAGAAUUUAGACAUAGCAAAGGAGAUUCAAGAGAUUCAAAGUUUUGAGGCAGAAAUCUAUGUUCCUCAUAUAGCUGAUAAAGAUGGCAGCCUCUAGGUUUUCGCGAUUCGUUCAUCCGUGCUCCUUCUAUCCUUGAAGCUGGUUUAGAAGUUGAGGUUUUUGCGGAAGUUACUGUUCCCAAAAAAGUAAAUUAAAGAAUUCAGACAUAGCAAAAGAGAUUCAAGAGGUAAGCUGACCAAUUCUACAACAUCUUGCAUUAACAAUGCGAUAAAGUGCAGGCAUGUGUUAAAAUAUCCUAUACAAUUUUAUCUUUACUGUCACUCUUUUUGUAUUCUUUGACAAGGGAUCCGUUUACCUGCAGUUAGUAAGUUGUGAUGAAGCAUUUCUGGAUGUUACUGACUCAGAAGUGGCAGUGCUUGAGCUUUUCGUUUCAUAAAUAAGAAAAGGGAUCUUUGAAACUACAGUUUGCACAGCUAGUGCAGUGAUUGUUGCAAAUAUGCUUAUGGCCGUCUUUCCACCGGAACUGCUAAACCAGAUGGUCAAUGCUACAUUUCUCUGGAGAAGGGUCUUAUACGAAAAAUACAAGAACUUGAGUGUUGACUCGAUCUCAUUCAUGUGUCAAGAAUUGAUUUCAGCAACUACAUUGCAUUUAAGUUCAAAGAACACAGAUGAAGUAUGUGAAUACAUGGCAAGAGUAAUGAAAGAAGCUUCUGAAAACAAUCAAAAGAUCCUACCCCAUAUCAUCAGAACUAGUUGGUCGAUGGGACGCAAGGUGAAUUUGUGAAACGGGAUUGCGGCAACAGUUUCUUCUUCCAAUUUUACCGAUGUGAAUGAAGUGAACCAUACGAUGUAGUCAUUCUGUACUUGUAGUCGUGAUCUGGUGUUUUUCCCGACAUUGAAAUGUGACAGUGUAUAUAUUCUCCCUUCUGUUACCUUGUCCUUGUAGUCAUUGAUUAUUGUUUUUUUUUAUCAAUGCUUGUAUUUGUGUUCCCUGCAAUUUUCACGUGUUAGUGUGUUAUUAUGUUAAAGAGAAGGUAGUCUUAGGUAGUUACAUACCUGUUCAUCGAGUAGGACCAUGUCUAUUGUAUCUGGAUUUUGAUUUGUUGGUUUGUAUCGCACUUCCCACAUUCGGGUUAUUCGGACGGUUAUUGUCCAAUCUAUUUUUGUUGUAUCCAACUCUGCAAUGUAGUUCUUUGAGGCUUCCAUAUCCUGCAAACAGUUUGGUUUUUGAGUAUUGCAUUAUAAGUUUUCAUGAAACAAUGUAAUAGAGUGCAGUCGAAGUACCUUUUUAGUUCUGGACUUUGAAAGAUAUUGUUAAGGGUGUGUGUAAGGUUAAUUGUUUUAUGUAAUGUGUUGUACUUUCUGUAGUGCUUCCUUUGUUGUUGGUUUUAUAUUGUCGUUUUAUUCUGCUCCACAUUUAAGCCGUCUGUUACAAAUGGUUUAAUUUGUCUUUAGUUAAUGCUUUUAUGGUUUGUUUGAAUUUUUUUGCUGUUUUUUUUUUUUUUGGUU